GCGGCGGCCACUCCACUUUCUGGCAGCCGCUCAUCACAGGGGAGGAACGUGAUCCCGGGCUCAGGGUGCGGCAGUGUGGAGACCUGCCGUAAUGCGGUGCAUCCAAAAGGAUGCCGCGAGCCUGCUUUUUGCGGAGGCAGAGCAGGCGGAGCCGUAAAAAUGGCA
rnacentral:ncRNA from 1 species